rnacentral:rRNA from 1 species
UACGGAGGGUGCAAGCGUUAUCCGGAUUCACUGGGUUUAAAGGGUGCGUAGGUGGGCAGGUAAGUCAGUGGUGAAAUCUCUGGGCUUAACCCGGAAACUGCCGUUGAUACUAUCUGUCUUGAAUGUAGUGGAGGUGAGCGGAAUAUGUCAUGUAGCGGUGAAAUGCGUAGAGAUCGGAAAGAACACCAACGGCGAAAGCACUCUGCUGGGCCGACACUGACACUGAGAGACGAAAGCUAGGGGAGCGAAUGGG